rnacentral:rRNA from 1 species
GGGAGUGAAAUAGAACCUGAAACCCUGCACUUACAAGCUGUGGAAGCACAUUUCUUGUGUGACCGCGUACUUUUUGUAGAACGGGCCAACGAGUUACGUUAAGUAGCAAGGUUAAGCACUUAAGGUGUGGAGCCGUAGCGAAAGCGAGUUUUAACUGAGCGUUCAGUUACUUGACGUAGACCCGAAACCGGGCGACCUACCCAUGAGCAGGAUGAAGCGAAAGUAAAAUUUCGUGGAGGUCCGAACCCACGAGCGUUGAAAAGCUCGGGGAUGACUUGUGGGUAGCGGUGAAAUUCCAAUCGAGCCCGGAGAUAGCUGGUUCUCCCCGAAAUAGCUUUAGGGCUAGCCUCAAGGUGAGAGAUACGGAGGUAGAGCACUGAAUGUCCUAGGGGGUAUUGCACCUACCGAAGACUAUCAAACUCCGAAUGCCGUCAUCUUAUACUUGGGAGUCAGACUGUGGGUGAUAAGAUUCAUAGUCGAAAGGGCAACAGCCCAGAUCGUCAGCUAAGGUCCCUAAAUGUAAGUUAAGUGGUAAAGGAUGUGGGAUUGCACAGACAACCAGGAUGUUGGCUUAGAAGCAGCCACUCAUUCAAAGAGUGCGUAAUAGCUCACUGGUCGAGUGAUCCUGCGCCGAAGAUUUCCGGGGCUAAAACUUACUACCGAAGCUACGGCAUCAGUAAUGAUGGGUAGGGGAGCUUCCCAUACGGGUUGAAGCAUGACCGUAAGGACAUGUGGACAGUAUGGGAGUGAGAAUGUUGGCAUGAGUAGCGAGAUGUGGGUGAGAAUCCCACAGGCCGUAAACCCAAGGUUUCCAGGGGAAGGUUCGUCCGCCCUGGGUUAGUCGGGACCUAAGCUGAGGCCGAAAGGCGUAGGUGAUGGACAACAGGUUGAUAUUCCUGUACUACCGAUAACCGUUUGAGAGA